GGGGAAUCCCAUACAACUCAUAAAUAAUAAUAGUAAAAGUUGGAUUUUCAAAUGGAUUAUAUUCGAUGUGAUGAUUGAAAGUAUUCUACAUUACCGACGUUUAAGAGAUCAUUGUUAUCUUAUAUAAAUUAUGCAAAAUAAUAGCAAAAAAAUUGGCAGCGGUGGGAUUCGAACCCACGCCUCCGAAGAGACUGGUGCCUUAAACCAGCGCCUUAGACCGCUCGGCCACGCUACCUUUUCCGAAUUUUGAUAAACGUUCAAUGUCCAAUGCCCGCCAUUGAUAGGUGCAAUUAUCAAACAGUUUCCGUUCAUUCAUUCUAAGAAGAGAAAACAAUAAUUAGACAUAAAUCAUACAUAAAAUGAUAGGAGAGUUUCUAACGUUGACAUCUGCAUAGAUUUAUUUCUACUUUCAUCGAUAACGCACGUGUAGAGACAUGGUGUCUAAUUAAUCGUAGUCAAAUCAAAACACAAAGUCGUCAAGCGAGAUGGUUAGUGAUGUUAGUGAAUGCUGCAAGUCGCAGGAAAGCACGAAGUGAGGAUGCAUCCCCGCGGUGAAUUAAUCAUUUCAACAGCUGCUGUCGCAUUAGCGACAGCGGAUAAGACAAAUGAACGUCGUGGAGCUUGUUAAGACGUAAUCCGAGAGAUGCGUCUCCCGCUUCCACCUUGUACCCUCACCCCACCUCACCCCGACGCCAUCAUCCUCUUCCGUUUUCUGCCAUCGCAUCCCUCGUCUCAUCUGGGAUUAGUCUCCGAAGACUACGUUAUUACGUAUGGUAGUUACAAUAAAUACAAUUUUGUCAAGUUUGAAGAUACCAUCGUUGGAAAUAUUUCUCCCACACUUGAAAACCUUUUCUUAGAUCCGAAAGAUUGCAUUUGACAAUACUUAGGAAGAAAUUUCGAUGACAGAUAACGUCAAUGCGGGUACCGUUGAAGUUUACCAAACGAGAUAAAUCAUUUUGAGUACUAUAUUAAGAUCAUCAGCUGCUAUUUUUAUUCGCCAAGAACAGUUUUAAUCAGAGUAUAAAAGUUCAUCGUAAAGCUGGAUUAUGCGAGUCGAUAUAUAUAUAGGUAUAGAUCGACUUUUCAAACACAAGUACGCCGACGUUCUUUGGAUCUACUUCGCUUUUGUCGGACCGAGUAUUGCGCCUCUCCAUUUUGUCAUCCCCUAGUGGAGUUUCAAUGUUGUAACCAUGGAGACGUCGCGUUUCCGCAAGGGGAAUGUAUAAGGGGUGUCGAGCGUACGUAGGCAAGUAUGCUGAAUGAUUGAUGAGAAAAUUUGCUCUCGGGCCCGUCAACCUUUCAACGCUUAACGGCGUGUCCUCGGCGUUAAAUGGCCAAUGAGUUUCAUAGGAGCCAUUAAGAAAGGGGUCCUUGAUUCGUAAUGAGACUCUCAAGGAGAAUCUUAUGAUUAUCACCCAUUAGUAUAAUAGGGCGAAUGAACUUGUAAAAGAGAAAGAAAAUGAACAAGAAAAGAAUGGAAUGAAAGAGAAAAAAAAAAUCAUUUUGAUCCUUCAGGAACGAAGGGAACGUUUGUUAGUUCUGGGCCAUGUCACGAAUGCAAUUAGUGACUGAUUCGCCAAGCACUGGGAAGUCCUUCACAGUAAUAGCGAAGGGCUCUUCAAAUGUUCAAGUACUCUUCCGGUAGCGACUGCAUUUUGAUUUGCGCCCCAACGUACUGCCUUAAAGUGCAACUUUGCUUUACUGCAAACCAAUGGGAGAGAUGGGCAUACCUUUAACGGUCUUUGCUCUUUUAUACUUGUGAAUUUGUUAUACUUUUAACUGUUAUGCUAAGGUAUGACAUAUACUUUUCUGUGAUUGAUUUAGAUCCGACGGAACAUGUAUC